rnacentral:tRNA from 1 species
GGAAUUUAGCUCAGUGGUAGAGCGUUUGUCUAGCAAGCACAAGGACCUGGGUUUGGUCCCCAGCUCCG